CAGCAGCCACGGGAAUACGUAGGGUGCAAGCGUUGCUCGGAAUCACUGGGCGUAAAGGGUGCGUAGGCGGGUCUUUAAGUCAGGGGUGAAAUCCUGGAGCUCAACUCCAGAACUGCCUUUGAUACUGAAGAUCUUGAGUUCGGGAGAGGUGAGUGGAACUGCGAGUGUAGAGGUGAAAUUCGUAGAUAUUCGCAAGAACACCAGCGGCGAAGGCGGCUCACUGGCCCGAUACUGACGCUGAGGCACGAAAGCGUGGGGAGCAAACAGGAUUAGAUACCCCUGUAGUCCCUGUCUCUUAUAA
rnacentral:rRNA from 1 species